rnacentral:rRNA from 1 species
ACUCCUACGGGAGGCAGCAGUGGGAAUAUUGGACAAUGGGAACCGUAGCAUCAGCCAUGCCGCGCUGUGUGAAGAAGGCCUUCGGGUUGUAAAGCACUUUCAGUGGGGAGGAAAGGUUGUUGGUUAAUACCUAACAGCUGUGACGUUACCCACAGAAGAAGCACCGGCUAACUCCGUGCCAGCAGCCGCGGUAAUACGGAGGGUGCAAGCGUUAAUCGGAAUUACUGGGCGUAAAGCGUGCGCAGGCGGUCUGUUAAGCGAGAUGUGAAAGCCCGGCGCA